rnacentral:misc_RNA from 1 species
AGCCGCGGUAAUUCCAGCUCCAAUAGCGUAUAUUAGUGUUGUUGCGGUUAAAAAGCUCGUAGUUGAAUUUCGGGAUUGGGAUAUAUCGGUCGUGCCUUUAGGGGCAUGAAACGGUGUGUAGCCAAUUUCUCACCUUCUGGUGAGUCGGGAUGCUCUUGGGUGUUUCGAUGAACCAGGACAUUUACUUUGAAAAAAUUAGAGUGUUUAAAGCGGGCAUUUUUGCUUGAAUACAUUAGCAUGGAAUAAUAAAAUAGGACGAUGGUUUUAUUUUGUUGGUUUUAGGGCCACGUAAUGAUUAAUAGGGAUAGUUGGGGGCAUUAGUAUUCAAUUGUCAGAGGUGAAAUUCUUGGAUUUAUUGAGGACUAACUACUGCGAAAGCAUUUGCCAAGGAUGUUUUCAUUAAUCAAGAACGAAAGUUAGGGGAUCAAAGACGAUUUAUGUACGUCGUAGUCUUAACCAUAAACUAUGCCGACUAGGAAUCAGACAAAGUUCAUUUUUUAACGACUUGUUUGGUACCUUACG